AUUCAGCUGACAAGUCCCAGGACGAAACGCGCGUCCUGGAU
rnacentral:hammerhead_ribozyme from 1 species